GGAUUUUAUGCCUCCGAAGGAAUCAUUGUAUCCUUUCAGACCUGGUGAUCAGGUUUUCCUCAAGAUUGGCAGAGUGGAGAUGCCCAAACUCAACUGUCAUAGAAGAGAUUUCGUCUUUAUGAUGUUUGGUAACCACUCCCACGUCUUUGAAACUGGCAGGCAUAAAACCAUGGAUGCAUCACUUCAGAGUGAAGAAAGAGCCAAAAAUUUACUACAGGACAUCCCCGGAUUGAUUUCCUAACGGACACUAAGGACCCUGAAAUGCUGAAUAAGGUACAAUGUAUCGUUCAAGUGAACGAAAAGCAUAACUAUUUCAGUGUGAAUAAAACUACCUUUCCAUCAGGCAUUGGUGAGAAGAAUCUAGCCUCAAAAGACAAGGUUUUGUCUUCAUAAGAGAAAAAAAAAGAGCUCUGUGUCUUUGCAAUAUGGACAAAACUGCAGUUGCUUAAGAUAUUCAAUAUGGGUUAAGUGAAAAAAUUUAGAAAUUUUCAGAAAUUGUUUCUGGAGAAAUUAACAGGAGAAAGGCCUCAACAAUGUCCUAAGACCAGCACUAAUUGAAAGAACUCAAGAGUGAGAAUUUGCUACAUAGGACUGAAUGGACUAUUGGAGAUGAACAUAAUAUUAAGAAUUGGAAACAUGGUCCAUGACCAAAGCUUUGACUGGAAUGUCUUUUGGGAGUUGAAAUUGAGCUGAACUGAGAAGAAAAGAGCUUGCCAGCCUGUCUGUAGGGUUCCAGAGACCUCCAAGAAAGGAGGGAAACUUACCGCCAUUGGCGUGCCUGGAGACCUCAGAGAGCAGCCUGGAAAACUUCAAGAAGAGGAGAUCUGCCCACAGAUACAGUAUUUUUCAGGCCUCCCUGGUGGCGCAAGGGGUUAAGCACCGAGCUAUGAAGCAAUCCACAGCCUCUGCAGCACGAGUUCUAUCCACAGCCGGCCAGGGAGCAACCCACAUGGCACAGCAGACCUCUCUUGUCUCGCCCACUGCUCCCCUGAGCAGUGUAUUUCAGUCAGUCUGCCUGUUCUGU